rnacentral:rRNA from 1 species
UACCAGCACCCCGAGUGGUCGGGACGAUUAUUGGGCCUAAAGCAUCCGUAGCCGGUUCUACAAGUCUUCCGUUAAAUCCACCUGCUCAACAGAUGGGCUGCGGAGGAUACUAUAAGACUAGGAGGCAGGAGAGGCAAGCGGUACUCAGUGGGUAGGGGUAAAAUCCAUUGAUCCAUUGAAGACCACCAGUGGCGAAGGCGGCUUGCCAGAAUGCGCUCGACGGUGAGGGAUGAAAGCUGGGGGAGCAAACAGG